CUGUACUUCAGUCACUCAACUGGACUGCACUUCUCACCCCAGGAUUGUGGUGAGGUCUAUACAAUUCAAACAGACUCUCUCUCUCUCUCUCUCUUUGUAACUCUCUCUCUCUCUCUCUCUUUGUAGUUUACUAAUACUAUAUUUAGUAAAAUCAUUUGUUCCACCUCA